UACGUAGGUCCCGAGCGUUGUCCGGAUUUAUUGGGCGUAAAGCGAGCGCAGGUGGUUUAAUAAGUCUGAUGUAAAAGGCAGUGGCUCAACCAUUGUGUGCAUUGGAAACUGUUAGACUUGAGUGCAGUAGAGGAGAGUGGAAUUCCAUGUGUAGCGGUGAAAUGCGUAGAUAUAUGGAGGAACACCGGUGGCGAAAGCGGCUCUCUGGACUGUAACUGACGCUGAGGCGCGAAAGCGUGGGGAGCAAACAGG
rnacentral:rRNA from 1 species